rnacentral:lncRNA from 1 species
UCCUACCUGGGCUUCUAGUUAUCGUUAUAAGUACGCAGUAGAUAGGGAAAAACCAACAGGGAGAUUCUUAGAGCCAAGAUCAUUAUGGCAAGGUAAAUUUAACUUCUUUCUCAAGAAAAUUUGUUCAACAUGCAAUUUCAAAUAUUAUUUAAUUUAAUUUCUUCUGCAGUUUGAUGAUGAAGUUGCUAUUCUUAUGCUUAAUUGCUGCUGGAUCAAUCUCAUUUUCUCUUGGAGCUGAGGCUGAACAACUGACUUCAGAAGGGAGAAGUAAAGAGAAAAAUAUCCAUCCGAUCCUUCACAUGCCUGCAGAAAUUGAUAAUCUUCAAUCACCAUUAAUCUUCAGACAAGGUGAUGGAAAGUUUAGAAAGAUUGUAAGGAAAUUGAUAGGUGUUGAGCUCCCUUCUUCUCCUCCCUCUGGUCAAUAUUGGUAUGCAUGGGUAAACUGACUAGUGUUGAUU